ensembl:lncRNA
GUCUGGUGGGGGACUAGGGGGAGGCCAGAGGGGACAGGUCCCCUGGCCACAACAGGAAAUGAAUCACUGAACCGGCUGGUCACCAGUUUGGAAACUGCUGUUGCUACCACCACCACCCCGCACCCGCACCCACACCCAUAUCCACACACGAGCGCGCGCCCACGCAUACACAUACACACACGCACACACGCACACACGCACACGGGCUUCAAGCAGGACACGCCCUCCGCUCCAGCUCAGGUCAGAACGCAGGCUUCGCUGUUAGCCCAGUUACCCCGGCCCCCGGGGUGUGGCCGCCCACCUGCCAGCAGGGAGUCUCCGCCCGACGGGGAAGGGACACCCCCGCCGCCGCCACCCACCGCCCGGGCCAGGUGCCCAGCUCCCAGCGACGGCAGCGCCUGGACCGCCGCCCCCACCCCUUCCUCCCGGCAGUGCGAAGACAAAGCCGCGCACACGCACACGGGGGGCUACACGGGGCUACGCGGGCGCAUACCCGCCCUCACACGCGCACACACGGGUGUCACACUGGCGCGCACACAGCGACACACACACACACACACACCCGCCACAGGCUCCAGCCACAAGCGAAGCCACUGGCACACGCCCUCACCCAGAGGUGUACACACUGCUACACAUUCGGACACACCCUCUCACAGACACAUUCAUCGACAGACACACGCAGACACACGCACCCUCACCCAGAUACGCACGCACCACUCAGUCCAGACGCGCGAAGACACGCAAGACACACACCCUCACACACGCACACACAGAUGCACACACGCACGCGCGCGCACACCCAGCAGCCGCUCGCACGGAUCCACGGGCACACGCGCGCUCACACCUAACACACACCCAGAGACUGGAGCCCCGACACACAAACCCGCGCCAGUCCCGACACGCACGAACCGAAGCCCGCGGGUCCCGGAGCCGGCCCGCCGGCCUGUCAGUGCCCGAAGAUCGGGGAUCGAGCCCGCCGCCCUUGGCGGCCACCCCACACGCACACGAGGGACCCGACGCGUCGGGGUCCCCGAGACGCGGAGGGGGACGGCGGGCACGGCUAACCUGGCGGCGGCGGCGCAGCUUCCGGGCUCUGUCUGGCUGGCGGUUCUGGAGUCCGGCGGGUGCCCCGGCGGGCUCCGAGGCGCGCUAGAGCUGCGCAGAAAUGCCCCGCUCGCUCGCGCGCUCGCUCCUGCUCUCCCUCCCACGGCGCUCAGCCCCCUCCUCGCCCGCCCCCCACACCUCCUCUCCCUGCUCCGCCCCGCCCCGGCCGGCUCCCCCGAAGGAGGCGGCGGCGAUCCCGGCCCCCGAAGCAGCAGCGGGCGGGCGAGCGAAAGAGCAAGCAGCGGCGGCGAGCAGCCAACACCAGGGGAGCGCCGGAGCCGCCGGAGCUGUGGCCGCGCGCCGGUCCCGGGGAGGGCAGCAGAGGAAGGGGCUGAGCCUCGCGAACCCUCCCGGCGCUGGGGGCUCGCCGCCGGCUUCCCCACGUGGGCCCGGCGUGAACCUGAGCCGCGGCGGGGCUCAGAGGCCCGGCGAAGAAGAGGAGCAGACCCCACCCGGGGCCCCCACCUCCUCCCGGGUUCCCGCCAGCGCCGACCUCCGUUUUCACUGGCUUAG